AGGGGUUAGUGUAGAUAAGAUUAUAUUUCUAGCCUUAAAAUCAAAUUGGGCUCUUCUAUUUUCCUCAUCAGUGCAAUCAAAAUAUGAUUUUUCUACUUCUACACCAUCAACUGUAAUUUUUGGAAUAUAAGGACCAUUUUGUACAGCUUCCCAGAUGCCUCUAUCAAUAGACCCCAUAAAAAUUUCCAUUCUAACUUUCC
rnacentral:lncRNA from 1 species